rnacentral:rRNA from 1 species
UACGAAGGGGGCUAGCGUUGCUCGGAAUCACUGGGCGUAAAGCGCACGUAGGCGGACUCUUAAGUCGGUGGUGAAAUCCUGGAGCUCAACUCCAGAACUGCCUUCGAUACUGAGAGUCUCGAGUCCGGGAGAGGUGAGUGGAACUGCGAGUGUAGAGGUGAAAUUCGUAGAUAUUCGCAAGAACACCAGUGGCGAAGGCGGCUCACUGGCCCGGUACUGACGCUGAGGUGCGAAAGCUAGGGGAGCAAACAGG